rnacentral:rRNA from 1 species
UACGGAGGGGACUAGCGUUGUUCGGAAUUACUGGGCGUAAAGCGCACGUAGGCGGAUUUGUAAGUCAGGGGUGAAAUCCCGGGGCUCAACCUCGGAACUGCCUUUGAUACUGCAAGUCUCGAGUCCGGAAGAGGUGAGUGGAAUUCCUAGUGUAGAGGUGAAAUUCGUAGAUAUUAGGAAGAACACCAGUGGCGAAGGCGGCUCACUGGUCCGGUACUGACGCUGAGGUGCGAAAGCGUGGGGAGCGAUCCGG